GCCUCGGUGGUCUAAUGGUUUAGAACAUUCGUACGGAAUACAAAAGAUCCGGGUUCAAGUCUCGAUCGAGGUA
rfam:Atta colombica isolate Treedump-2 unplaced genomic scaffold scaffold108, whole genome shotgun sequence.